rnacentral:lncRNA from 1 species
AGUUUCAGCUGGCUGUUCCCGCUAGCAUCAGGGCUCGAUCGUAGAGGACGCGGCAGCCGCAGCUCGCGGAGAACAGCGGGCAGAGCUGUGGGCUGCACGCGCCCCUGCAGCCACCGGGCGUCCCGCAGAGGCUCCCGCGCCCUGCGGCGACUUCCGCCCCCGCGCUCCCCUUUGUCCGAGUCCCCAAGCGGCGGCGGCGGGGUAGGAGCCCACGCCGUGGGCGACUGAGGCGGCGGCAGUCCGCGUCCCGGCGCCCUGGAGAUGCCGGACCAGAUCUCCGUGUCGGAAUUCGUGGCCGAGACCCUUGAGGACUACAAGGCGCCCACGGCCUCUAGCUUCACCACGGGCACGGCCCAGUGCCGGAACACCAUGGCGGCCAUCGAGGAGGUGCUGCAGGACCUGCGGAAAACAGGGAGUUCACCCACCAUGAGCUUCAGGAGUGGUACAAGGGCUUCCUCAAUGACUGUCCCACUGGCCACCUGACUGUGGACAAUUUCAAGAUCUAGGCCAACUUCUUCCCCUACAGAGAUUCCUCCAAGUUUGCUGAACAUGUCUUCCACACCUUUGACACCAACAGCGACAGCACCAUCGACUUUCAAGAGUUCAUCAUUGCUCUGAUCAUGACCUCUCGGGGCAAGCUGGAACAGAAGCUCAAGUGGGCCUUCAGAAUGUCUGA